rnacentral:rRNA from 1 species
GGAGGUAGUGACAAUAAAUCUCAAUACGAAGCCUUUGGUUUUGUAAUUGAAUUGAGAACAAUGUACAAUCGUUAUCGAUAAACAAUUGGAGGGCAAGUCUGGUGCCAGCAGCCGCGGUAAUUCCAGCUCCAAUAGCGUAUAUUAACGUUGUUGCAGUUAAAAAGCUCGUAGUUGAAAUUUAGAUGAUUAUUGAAAGUGUUUGUAUUCGUACAUUCUUUACUUUCAAAGAAUCAUUGACUUCCAGAUAUGUAUUGAUUGUUUUAAUCUUUCGGGGUUAAUUCUUAAUACUAGACUGGUCAUUUACUGUGAGAAAAUUAGAGUGUUUAAAGCAGACUUAUCAAAGUAGUUUGAAUAGAUUAGCAUGGAAUAAUAAGAUUGGCUUUCAUAGUCGAUUUUUUGGUUUGUUUAUGAAAGCAAGAUUAAUAGGGACAGUUGGGGGUAUUCAUAUUCAAUAGCUAGAGGUGAAAUUCUAUGAUUUAUGGAAGAUGAACAAGUGCGAAAGCA